rnacentral:rRNA from 1 species
AUAUAUCUGUUUAACUAUGGCAGUAGAAAGUACCUUAAGGUCAUCCGCAUAAAAAGUUUUUAUAUUUUCUAUUUAAGCAUCCUAUGAGCUUUUCUAUUAGCGGUUAGUAUUUUAUUUAAGUGAAAACUUUAUUAAGGAUCUUAAGGUAGAGGGGAUUAGGCACAGUGCCAGCAUCCGCGGUUAUUCUGUUUUCUCUGCUUUUUUGUGGUUUGACAUAAGGUUAAUUAUAAAUAAAGUUAGGUGAAAUUUUUUUAUUACUAUUACGAAUAACUUUAAUGGCAAUAAGUAGCUAUUUUGUGAAAGGGAUUAGAUACCCCAGUAACUGGCUAUGUAGUAUUACUUAGUUUUAUAACUAAAAUAGUUUGGCAGUGAGUUAUUCCUAUCAGGGGAAGGUGUGUUAUAAAGGACGACCCGCCCAUUAAUUUACCUUAACUAUGUUGGUGUAUAUCUGGUUUAAUAUUAUUGCUUAGUUGCGUGAAUUUGUGUAUAUUUAUUUAAGCUAAGUCUAUGUGCUGCAUGUUAAGGUUUUCAUGCGUUACUUUUAUAAUGACUGCCGUGUAAUAGGCUGUUAUUUAGGACUUGAUAGUAAUUCUAAAUAAAUUUGUUAGUGUGAAAUUGGUUUAACUCAGGUACACACCGCCCGUCACCCUCGAUUAUUUUGAGGUAAGUCGUAACAAGGUAGCCCCAGAUGAAUCUAGGGCUAAUUGCCAUUAAUUUUAUCUUUAUAAUAAGAAGUUAUGGCAGUA